CACGGUGCUAUUUUGGGUCGCUCCGUCUGUGUUCCCGGAAGGCCAUUUCCUUGUGCAGUGGUUGGGAGGCGGAGGACUGGGCCACCCCUGCCCAGUCCACUGCUGAAGAGGCCACUGAGACACAGAGGCGACCUCAGACUGGGGGAGGCCUGUGGUGUGACCCUCUUGGGCUCAGGCCGGUGGCCGAGAGCUCCCUCUACCGACAGCGGCUGGAGGUCAUCGCCGUAAGUGACCCCGCCCGGGAACCCCAAGGCCUCCCUCCCCUGCCGGGUCCAGGGCACCCCAUAAACCCCAGCAUGCCGCCUCCAUUCUCCCGCUUUCUGCUCCCUCGGAAAGGUGGGGCUGCAGCCCGGCACGCCCAGACAUUCCCAGACACCCCAUGUCCGAGCCCCUGCCAAGCCCUGCGGCUUAGCACCCCAUCCCUGGAGCCCUCCCUAGGGACCCUUUGGCCCAGCCCUUCCGCGGACUCCGCCCCGCCUCCAUCUCGUACUCUUGUCUCUCAGCCCCCAACUCUCUGAGUUCUGCAUCACUUCCCAGCCCUCCUCUGGACCCCGAUUUCCCUGCCCCCCCAUAUUUGCACCCCCACUUCUCUGACCCCCCAAAUCUCUGAUCUGCAUCUCUGUGCCCCAUCUUUCUGUUCUCCACUUCUUCCCUGGUCUCUCCGGGGUUCUCCCAGCUGUACCCCACCUCGGACUGACACCUUCCUGCGCAUCCCCAAAUCUAGACCCCUCCCACCUCUGCGCACCGGAUCCGGGGAUCCCCUCCGACUGGAUUUCCCUACCCGAGGCUCCGCCCCCCAACCCCUCCAGGACCCCUAUUGGGCGCGGCGUGGCCUCCGCUGCCUCUCGGCCACGCCCCCUGCCCGCUGCCGCUGCUGAGUCAGCGCCUCGACGGCCCCUCCCCCUCUCAUACCCCACCCCCCAGCAGGGCUGGACCCCCGGGAGGGGAGGGGGAGGGAAGGGAAGGGGGAGAGGAGGUCCCGCCCAGCCCGCGCUCUGCGCAGGAGAAGCGGCGGCUGCAGGAGCGGAUCCGCGCCGCACGCCGCGAGCUGGAGGAGGAGAAGCUGCGCGUGCAGCGGCUCAAGAGGAAAUCCCUGCGCGAGCGCUGGCUGAUGGACGGCGCCGCGGAGACCCCGCAGCAGCCCGGGGACCCCGCCGCCCAGGAUCCCCAGUCACCCGAGGGCCAGGCCCAGACUCGCAUCCGCAGCCUGGAGGACAGCUUGUUCACGUGAGCGCAGCUCCUGGCCGGGGCGGGGGACGCGGAGGGCGCCCGGGUCCCCUCCCAGCUGCGCCCUCUCUCCGCAGGCUCCAGGCCCAGCUGCAGCUGUUGCAGAGCGCGUCCGCGGGCGCGCAGCCCCGAUCCCCGGCCAGGCCCGCCUGGCGCAGGCAGGGUCACCGGCCUCUCUCCCAGCCCGCCAUGGAGACAGGUCCUGCAGGUGAGUAUCGGCGGCCUCGGGUCUGGGGCUCAGGUCACCCCCAGACUGCACAGCCUGCCGGUCAUCCUCACCACCUCCUCCCCCUUCUCUCCUCUCUGGUUCCAUUAGGUCAGGCGGAUGUGGACAAGAGAGCGUCCCUGCCGGUGGGGCCCACGGGUUUGUUCCUAGAGUCCCACUCUGAGCCCAGAGAGGGGGCCCCCGGGCAGGUCCCUGGGGCAGGAGGGUACCCUCAAGAAGCCAACGGCCCCUGCUCGGGGCCCAGCCCUCCUCAGGAGCAGCGGCAGAGCCCGGGGCCAGGGACCACAGCGGAGGGGGACACUGCAAAGGCCCGAGCUGGGAAUGUGGUGGAGGUGGUGUGGGAGGGGCUCCGGGGGCCCCAGGACUGUGUCACAGGUGCUACCGGCCCGGAGUUGGAGGCCAGGGUGGAGCAAGUGGUGUUGGAGGCCUUGAGGGACAGACAGGGGCCCGGCAGCCCCGAGCUCCCUGCCUGGGCACAAGAGAACAGGGGUGUGGUGGAGGUGGUCUGGGAGGGGCUGGGGGGCCGUGACCCUGAGGCCCUGGGUGGUGUGGGCCCAGGGCUCCAGGAACGCCUGGGGGGUGAGGGGUCCCCAGACAGGGAGCCCAACAGGCAGGCAGGACCCGCUGGGGAUGCGGGUUCCUUCAUCUGGGUGGAGAGGGUGACGGUGGGGGAGGAUUGGGAGGAGCUGCUGAUGGAGGGGCUCGAGGGACCCGUGGAGGCUG
ensembl:lincRNA